rnacentral:rRNA from 1 species
UACGUAGGGCGCAAGCGUUAUCCGGAAUUAUUGGGCGUAAAGAGCUCGUAGGCGGCUUGUCGCGUCCGGUGUGAAAGUCCAUCGCUCAACGGUGGAUUUGCGCCGGGUACGGGCAGGCUGGAGUGCGGCAGGGGAGACUGGAAUUCCCGGUGUAACGGUGGAAUGUGUAGAUAUCGGGAAGAACACCAAUGGCGAAGGCAGGUCUCUGGGCCGUUACUGACGCUGAGGAGCGAAAGCGUGGGGAGCGAAC